ACGUUUUUGAACAUUUUUCACAUGUGAAUGACUUUUUCAGAAUGAAACUUUCGUUGACUCAGAUUUUGAUUCUUGUCUUCUUGGUAUUGCUGUCCUUUCCAACAGCUGAAGGGCUGAUAUGUCAUCAGUGUUAUUCAGUUGGAAAGGACAAUAAAUGUCGCAAACCAUCCACCUGCAAUGGGUCUACAAAACAAUUUUGCUUCAUUCAAAGAAACUCCAAAGGAGGACACAUUAAAAGAAUAAGUCAAGGUUGCACCUCUUACUGUGUAGAUACUAUUCAGUUCAGCAAUGCCUAUAUAAGAUAUACCUUUUGCUGCA